UUGAAAUUUGUUUUACGGCUCUGCCACUGACCCACUUUUGUUUUCCAUCUCUCUUCCGCCGUGUUUUUGCUUUCUCUUUUCUUCCUUCUGCUUCCUAAAACCGCCUCCUUCACUCCCUCAGACAACUACCUCCUCAACUGCGGCUCUUCCUCCAAGGCCACCCUCUUCAACCGAGUCUUCAUCGAAGAUUCCAAUUCCUGGUCGGAUUUUGUCUCCACAGGCCGGUCUAUUUCAGUCACCAACAACAAAAGCCCACCUCCAAAGUCCAAACUCACCCUCUCCUUACAACACAACAAGAGUUUUCAUCACUGCUUCAAGCUAUAGCUUCAGCAUCAAGAAAAUCGGAACUCACUUAGUACGUUUUCAUUUCUCACUGUUUCCGGCUCAGGGUUUUGAUUUGAUUGAAAACCCUUUGUUUUCUUGGCUAUUGCUUAUGUAUGUGUGGGAAAGUUUGAAUCUUUGAUGGGUUUUGAUAGAGAUGAGCUCGAACUUUGAUUGAGAUUGGAGAUGGAUGAGCUCGAAAUGCAAAACCCAAAGCAGAGCACUCUGUUUUUUUCGUGGUUGCUUUAUAUAGCUGAAAUAAUUAUAAUACUGGGUUAACGGUGGAGGCUUUACUAAGGAAAUGAAGGAAACAGUAUUAGACAUCGGUUUUUUGCUUUUUAAGCACUUCUGCUUUGUUUUCUUCAGUUUUGGUUAUGGGGGGUUAAAUGUUGUUCUUUUCUUCCCUGGUGAACAAAUAAUUAAAUUAACCAUGAAUAUUUGUUUAGAUUGAGAUGCUUAAUUAGCAGACAGUAUUGUGUAAACAAGAGUGAUUAAUUAAUUUAGAAGCCUGCAGACAAAGAAGUGGGUCUUCUCUUGCUGAAGUGUCAAAAUCUUGAAGGUAGUGGUAGGUCAUGUGCUCUCUCUCUACUUAUUUUUGCAUCUUUUUGCAGUUUUUGUGCCCGUGAGGCAUAAGCUCCUCCAGCGGUUGCUGCUUCGGAUUAUGAGAGAGAAUAAUUACUGUGCUUUUUGUUUAGGUAAAGAUGGAUGACCCUAAUUGUGUUAGAGAAAAGAACAAGAGCUACUAGGGAUUCCUUGCCAAACUAUUGGCAUCAAUUGGCAAUAGGUCCAGAAGAGAACGUAAGGAAACAAUUAAGGAGGUGUAUUGCAGCCUAGGUCCAAGUUAUGGUUUGGGUUAGCUAAGAGGUCCAAUGCAAAUUCAUGUCCAGUUUCGACUUCAUGUUUGAUUCCAGCUUUACAGAAAAAAAGCUCCUUGCAAUCACAAGUUGGACUAGAAUCUCUCAUCUUUGAUUAUUAUACAUAGUGGAAUAAAUUUUCUUUUCUAUUACUUAUGUAUGUGUGUGAAAACGUUUAUGACUAUCAAAUGAUUCACCUACAAGAUCCACAAAAGUUGGAAGGAGUUCUUUCUCCUUCUCAUUUAGAGGACAUGGAAUUUGCUCAAUCUCUAGGCAGAACAGAGUGAACAUAAAGAAAUGUCAGUUCAUUUGCUGGGUUAUUUUUAAGUUCUCUCAGUAUGUGUGAUUUCUCCUGGACAACUUAGCUCAAUUACCAAUGAUGCUGGGUUUCAUUAAAUAAACUUUUAGUUCAAGUCUCAACUGUGAAAUGGUAUUGUGAUUGAGGUAUAAAAGCUAUUAUAGCAUCAUUUUGCUAAUACAUCCCAUCAGCCAAUUUUUAUUGAGGAAAUCAGUUUCCUUAUAGUUUAAUGAGUUGUGCUUGAAUUGAUGGUUAGAGAACCGGCGGAUUGAAAAAUAGAACCAAAGUAGUUUAAUGAUUAUUUUUCCCUCUCUCUCCAUGCAUUAUCGUUACUGCAAUCUGAGAUUAGUGGCAUGCAUAACUUUAUUCAAGAAAAUAUAUAUUAGUACUGCUGCUAUAACUAUUGAUGGUUAUUAUAACUUCAAGUUUCUCAUUGCAAACCCUUCUUUUUGUAUUAAAUACCAGUUUAUCACUAUUUCCUCAAGUAUUUAUCUAUCCACCCGAUCUAGAAUUUCUGUUCUAAAGACCUAUUUCUGGAUUGGUAGCAGCAUUAAUCUUAUUGCACGUUUUCGAGGCUAUUUGCAAUGGAGCAGUUCAUCAGAAUUGUAACAUUUCGGUACUCAUUCUGCAGGGAUAUGAAGAAAAGGUACUUAUGCUUUUACAAGGAAGGCUUCAAUUCAGUUUCUGCUUUCAAGCUGAGAUGUGUUACUCUAUGACGUUGUCUUGGUUGCCAUCAGUCGAAUACCGCUAAUCGAAGACAAAGUUCGGUUAUGUGACUUAUGUCAAGCUCUCAUCCAAACUUUUCACAUUUCACUUGGAAUGUUGCAGCUUGGGCAGACAACGAAGUUAGCAGUACUUGCAUUGUUGAUGAUCAUGUACUAUUUUUUAUUCUAAUUAGCAGUCUUGAUAGGAAAAUCUGUAGUUCACUUUUUCAACCACAAAUCUGAAAGAAGGUUGUUGCGAUAAUGGCAUCUGGUUGCUCUUUAAAAUUUACGGGGAAUACUGCUAUGAUAAUGGCAUCAAUGUUUUAAGUGUAAUCCAGCUAUUAAAAUGUAAUGAGUAAAUUGAUCA